rnacentral:lncRNA from 1 species
ACUAGGAUAGUAGGAUAGGAUGUCUCAAGUUGAACGGUCAAAAAGCUCAGGAAACAAAGCUUCUUCAAACAGAUCUAGGAGGAAUGAUGCAGUUGGAAUCAUGGUCUUAGUUCUUCUUACAGCUGUUACUAGAUGAUUUGGUUAAUUUUUAAUGUUUCUGGUGUGUCCACUAUGGUUUUUUAAAAUUUUCUUGUACGAGGCAAACUCUUUUGAGUUUACAGUACGAGUUUUCUUAAGCUCUCAAGUUUGACAACCUUGCUAAUAUACACAUAACCAUUGGCAUUCUUAAAAUUCAUGAUAGGCCUAGCUCUACCCCAUACAUGCAAAAUCUAACUAUAAUUAAAAGUGAAUCUACUUUUAUACCAACUAUAACCGAAGCACAAACUAAAUGCUGGAAUUAUGUUCAUUCAUUUGGGGUGGUCAGGCAGCUUGGGCAAUCUAUAUGUAUUUUUGUGAAUUAGUUCUUCUUGUGCAGCAUCCAGUUAAUACAAAGGCACUGUCCAACCAAGUCUCUUCGGCAUUGGUGCCUGUGGAUUUGAAUGAAAAUUGUGUUGAAGCAAAGGGCAAUGUGCAAGAUGGAGAACUUUCACAAGUAGAUGAUUUGGUUAAUUUUUAAUGUUUCUGGUGUGUCCACCAUUAUUAUUAUGGUUUUUUAAAAUUUUCUUGUACGAGGCAAAUUCUUUUGAGUUUACGGUACGAGUUUUCUUAACCUCUCGAGUUUGACAAACUUGU